AAAGGAAAAGCAAGAUGCCCUUAUGAAUUACAUCAAUAGAUAUAAUAAACUCCCAAACCUCAGUACUGUAGUCAUCAUUCAGUGGGUUAUGUAUUUAUUUAUUUUGAUGCUGGGAAUCGAACUCAGGACUUCGCACUUGCCAGGCAGGUGCAGCGCCACUGAGCUAAAUCCCCGGCCCAGGGUUUGAAUUAUAGGGUGACUAGUUGGUAAUCUUGUAAAUUUUUUUCUAAAGUUAUAUGUAUGACAUGGUUUAUUUUUUUAUUUUAUUUUUAUUUUUUGGUACCGGGGAUUGAACUCUCAGGACCUUGCACUUGUGCGGCAGGCACCGGAACCACUGAGCUAAAUCCCUGGCCCUGUAUGACACGGUAUUUGUGACAAUCCAUUUCUCUUGUGUAUUUUAUUCCUUGUCAGAUCUGCCUUCUCCCAACUCCUUCUUCCCCCCCGCAAAAAUAUAUAUAUCUUUGUAAGCUCUAUCAAGAGCAAAUAAUUUUGGUUAAUUUAGAAGUGAAGCUUAAAUCAUGUUCAUGAUACGGACUUGCUAGGUGUGUACAGCUACUGCAAAUUAUUUUAGAAGUAGGUGGGAUUUAAAUGAUAAAGAUAGUAAACCAAGUGCUUUACACAGAUAAAUUCCUUUAACAAAUACUCUGUUAGUACUUCACUUUUAGAUGGUGAAAUAGGCUCAGAGAGGUUGAUUCAUUUGCUCAAGAUGACACAGUUAAGAAAUAAUGGAACUGCUGCUCCAGCAUCCAGACUUCUAGAUCAUUAGCCCUGCAGCAGCAGCAAACUGGUGAAAAUAAGGACGCUGUGGUAUUCCAGGUGUAGACACCACCUUUAAAGAGUUCAGUCUUCCUGAGAUACAAACACGGGGAGCACCUGGAUGGCUUCCCCUGGCCUAGCAGCUGCCACAGGACACCUUGCUAAUGGGUCACAAGGAGCUUUUCCUGCUGACCAGGUCCCACCUCUACUUCCCGCAGUGUCCUACGUCCUACGCCAGUGCUGUCCAGGAGAAAAUGCUGUGGUGAUGACAAUGUCCAGUGUCGGUGCACUGAAUCCUGGGAAUGUGGCCAGUCAACUGAGAGCCUGAGAUUUUAAUUUUACUUUUAUGUAAAAAUUCAAUAGCAAAUGUGGCUAAUGGCUAAGAUACUGGACAGUGAGUUUCUAGGCAGCCACUGCAAUUGAUCAGAACUGUUUUCUAGGAAUAAAAUCCAGUUUCCUUUCCAGAAAGACUAAGCACAAAGAUAAAAACAAAAAAAAAGAGAGGGAUCUUUUGCAAGUGAGGGGACCAGGAGAGGGAGGAAUGGGGUGGGACAGGGGACGAAAAAAGGUUUGAGAUGUGUUAAGAACAUGCACCAACUCUCUACCAUUAAUGGAAUAAUUAUGUACUGGAAAUGUGUGCUAAUAAAAGUUAAAAAAUGUAAAAA